CGGUGUGGCAAUUACAUGCCGAUGCAAGCAACAUGGACGAUGAUGUGCUCUAACACGGGAAGGGCAGGCUCAAGAUCUUCCCGGCGACAGUCAGGUGACCCAUCCUCUUUCCAUCUUCCCCCAGAUAUGGCUAGGUCUCCCGUCUUCUAUUUUAGCUUUCAGUUCAGUCCAUACAGCAUACAGGUUAUAGAGCAUGUGCAGAGUCUACACCGGAACGAUUUUCUGUAAGCUACAUAAAUGGAGUAGUAAUACCAACCAGUAGAUUAGCAGUAGGUGCAUAUAUGGGGUAGUAAUACCUACCACUGAUCUUUUUUAGGUACGUAAUAAUCUGCACAAAUUCAGUGCAAAAUAACUUGCAGAAUAAACUAGAGAUAGAGACAACUGGUGCAGAGCUUUCUAUUGCCAUGAACAUGUGAGUGCUCAAUUCUACCACAACAUUGGCUAGCCAGCCAUGAACAAUUAAAGUAAUGAGUGUUAUGUUCUAUUACUAUGUACUUAUUCCAAUUAUAGUUCAUGUCAGGAGUUGAAAAUUUAGAGGAACUUGUAUGUAUGCUUGAGUUAUUCCGUGGUGAAAGCGAAGGAAAAGAGAAAUGCGUCAGCAUUUCCAGCUGAUGCCUAAUAGUUUGUUCGGAAAAUGUAGUUUGUGAUAUAAGAAUUCUGACGUGCUUUGCUUUAUAUUGGCAGUAUUGUUUGUUAGUCCGACACAUUAUUUAGAGAACUUUGCAACUUGCUAUUUGUAGGCUAAUUUGCUGUCUCCGUGUGCAAUAGAAAUUCAAGCACACUGCAUUGCUCUGGUGGAGUGUUUAACUCUUUGUGGGCUGAGAUUUCAACCAUACAUGUAUUUCAAGGAAUGGAAGCAAACGUAGUUAUCAUUUAAUUCCAUGACAGUGAAGACACAAUUCUAGCGGGCAAAGGAUCGUAGAUACUCAAUUCCAAGACACAAUGAUGUUUCUUUUGAUACUCAUUCAUAACCGAAUUAAUCAUGUUAUGCUUAGGAAGAGGUCUAUGCAUCAUCGAUGGGUGUCUUUGUCGGUUUCUUCUUUUCAGCUGAUGACCUAUUCUUUCAAGGUGUAUAACUAACGAUCAACCUAUUCUUUCAAGGUGUAUAACUAGCAAUCAACGGAUGUUUAUUGUUCUGAAGAAUCUUCCUCCGUACAUGUGGACUCUACAAUUACAGAGCAGUUUUUAUCUCCUUAUUAUGCUUUAUAAUAUAUUGAUCAGGAGACAAGGUGUAUGGAUGACCCCUCAAUGUAUAUAUACAUGCGUUGUUUGUUCUCAGAAGUUAAUAAGGAUACCAAUGCCAUCGCAAUCAAAGUUUCUGAUGUCAAGGCAACUGAGGCUUCUGACUCGCUAGGCACUAUCUGUUUUGAUAGUGGGCUGGAUUGACAUGGGAAACUAGAGCUCAUCCAAUUGACACCUGAAUAUGAAUAGGUACGUCCAUGGCUAACAGGCCUACCUUGCAUCCUAAAUUCAGCACCAGUGAACGAGUAUGUUCUAGGUCCUUUUGGGCUGGUUAAGACACAUGAUACAGAUACGAAAGACAGCAACACAAACCUUGGCAAGGCUAUAAGGACCUACAGAUAUACCGUGUGGUGCUCUAGCAUAGAUGUGAUACCAGCUGGGUUGCUAAUCAAGGUGUCACCGUUGUGACUGACACAUUUGACUCAGGUAUCAACGGAAGG